CCAGGACCAAGUAAAUAAAGUCGGAGUAUACAACCACAAUGGCAGAAUCAACAACAAAAAGUGCAUCAAUGGCACUGUAUCGAUAUCUAUGCCAGAAUAUUGUUGGAACAGAGGAGCAUGUAAAAACAAUCCGAAUGAUGAACAAUGUCAGAGAUUAUUUACACAGCUACAACAGAGGGGAAAUGAUCACCAGCGGGAGUUUCGGAGAAGGACUUGCGAUGCGAGGUAGUGAUCUUGAUUUUAUGGCGGGUUUUAAACAAGUUGAGAUCUUUGAAGACACAAAAAUUUAUUCAAAUGUUAAUAACAUAAAUUUCAAAAUGGAAAUGAAAGAUACUCAGCCAGGUUUCACUAAGUUGCGUCUUGUGCACAGUUAUGACCCUGGUAUCUUUACAAACUGCGACGAAGUAGGUAGUGCUUUUUACUUUUCAAACCUUUCAUUCAAACAAAGAUUGUCAACCGAAACUCUUUCGACUAUACAUGGGCCAUGUAUUUCCGAUAAAAAAGGAGUAUAUGACGUUGCCUACUGUUUACAUAGCAAAUUAUGGAUAACACUAGCAAACCAAUGGAUCACAAGAUACAAUAAUUCAUGGCCGAUAUACGAUGUUAAAUAGGAUAUUGUAAAACAUGGGGUUCUCUUUGUUUCCGUAGGCAUGAAAGGAUCUACACAGGAGGAAUUAGAAUGGCGAAUAUCAUUUUCCGUUGGCGAAAAACUACUUAUUUAUUCAUUUACACAUACACAAUUACUAUGUUAUUCACUUUUGAAAAUUCUUCUUAAAGACGUUAUAGCUUUAGACAUAGAUUGUAAAGAAUUACUUUGUUCAUAUUUCAUGAAAACAAUUUUGUUUUGGAUAUGCGAAGAGUUGCCUUCAUCAGAAUGGAAACCUGAAAACUUGAUACUUUGUUUCAUGAAAUGUUUAAGGAGGCUCGUAUAUUGUGUUGAAUACAAAGUUUGUCCUCAUUAUUUCAUUCCCUAGAAUAAUUUAUUUGAGAAUAAGAUACAAGGAUAUGCACAAGAAACACUUCUAAUAAAGUUGUAUAUUCUGAUAAGUUAUGGUUGGCAAUGUAUAUUAUUGUCAGACCAAGUCUUGGACUUAAAUGCAGUGGCAUCUGAUAUAAGUGAGGAGUCAAGUUAUUUAUAUGUCAAGGGUGUACAUAGAUUUUCAAACUCACGUACGUUUUUUUCAGACAUUUUGCAGGAGACUUUUGAUUCUAUUUUGGAAAAAGUGAUGUACAAGUUGUAUAGUAAGAGUUCGACGAUCAAAUACCUGUGCAUAUACUAUUUGUCAAAUUGUUUGGUAAAAGUAAGCGAUUUCUGCCAUUGGAGGAUGUGUCCCGUAAUAAAGUUACUUAUAAAAUGUGCAACACUUACAUAAGUACCUAAUUAUCAACACACAUCAUGAUGCCGUAUCUGGAUGGCUGACAUUAGCAACAUUUGUCUACAGAAGAAAACAAUACAAUACAUCUCUUCACAUUAUUCAGUAUUCUCUGUUGAAAUGUACACCGGAAAAACUUCAUCAAUUUAUGCAGUUUUCAGAUAUGCAUUAUGAGCUAUUUAAUUUGCAAGUAUUUAGGAAUAUGCAUAUUGUUAAGUUAUGGAAAUAUUUACUACUAGAUUUAGUGGUAAUCAAAAACUCUAAUUUACAACCUGAUGAAUUACAAAUUGUAGUAGAACAAAUUAUUCCUCCAAUAGUAUAUGCUCACUUUCUUCGUUUGUUGUGUCAUUAUCAUUUGAAAGAUAGCAAGGAAUGCUGGGAUUCUCUCAGGGAUCUCCAGUUGACUAUAGAAGAAAAGUAUUUUAUAGCAACUCAAAUGUUGAAAGGUUUAUCUUACAACAUCCUAGGUAUAAGUUUUCAAUUGUUAGGCGACUUGGAAUCAGCAAAACAAGCAUUAAUGCAAUCCAAAAAAUUAUGUCCAGAUGAAAAGUACAACAGCGCAUUCCAAACAUUGUCAUUGAUAAGCUGAUGUGAUUAUGAUUAUGUUCCUUAAUAUGUGGAUAAGCCUAUUAAUAUUACUUUUCUAUAAAGUGUACUUCUAAUUAAAUGCUAAGCAAAGUA